rnacentral:rRNA from 1 species
UUUUAAUAUGAGAGUUUGAUCCUGGCUCAGGACGAACGCUGGCGGCAUGCCUAAUACAUGCAAGUCGAACGAGCUUUCCUGAUGAUUGAUGCUUGCAUCAUGAAUCAG